AGUGGCAGACGGGUGAGUAAUGCAUAGGAAUCUGCCCAGUAGUAUGGGAUAGCCACUAGAAAUGGUGGGUAAUACUGUAUACGCCCUGCGGGGGAAAGAUUUAUCGCUACUGGAUGAGCCUAUGUUAGAUUAGCUAGUUGGUAGGGUAAAGGCCUACCAAGGCAGUGAUCUAUAGCUGGUCUGAGAGGAUGAUCAGCCACACUGGAACUGAGAUACGGUCCAGACUCCUACGGGAGGCAGCAGUGGGGAAUAUUGGACAAUGGGCGCAAGCCUGAUCCAGCUAUGCCGCGUGAGUGAGGAAGGCCUUAGGGUUGUAAAACUCUUUCAGCGGGGAAGAUAAUGACGGUACCCGCAGAAGAAGUCCCGGCAAACUCCGUGCCAGCAGCCGCGGUAAUACGGAGGGGGCAAGCGUUGUUCGGAAUUAUUGGGCGUAAAGGGCAUGUAGGCGGUUUGGUGAGUUAAAGGUGAAAUGC
rnacentral:rRNA from 1 species